UACAGAGACUGCAAGCGUUAUUCGGAUUCACUGGGCGUAAAGGGUGCGCAGGCGGCCAAGUGUGUGAGGCGUGAAAGCCUGGGGCUUAACUCCAGAAUUGCACCUCAAACUACAUGGCUAGAGCAUUGGAGAGGGUAGCAGAAUUCACGGUGUAGCAGUGAAAUGCGUAGAUAUCGUGAGGAAUACCAGAGGCGAAGGCGGCUACCUGGACAAUUGCUGACGCUCAGGCGCGAAAGCGUGGGGAGCAAAAGGG
rnacentral:rRNA from 1 species